rnacentral:rRNA from 1 species
UAGGGAAUCUUCGGCAAUGGACGAAAGUCUGACCGAGCAACGCCGCGUGAGUGAAGAAGGUUUUCGGAUCGUAAAACUCUGUUGUUUGAGAAGAACAAGGACGUUAGUAACUGAACGUCCCCUGACGGUAUCUAACCAGAAAGCCACGGCUAACUACGUGCCAGCAGCCGCGGUAAUACGUAGGUGGCAAGCGCUGUCCGGAUUCAUUGGGCGUAAAGCGAGCGCAGGCGGUUUCUUAAGUCUGAUGUGAAAGCCCCCGGCUCAACCGGGGAGGGUCAUUGGAAACUGGGAGACUUGAGUGCAGAAGAGGGGAGUGGAAUUCCAUGUGUAGCGAUGAAUUGCGUAGAUAUAUGGAGGAACACCAGUGGCGAAGGCGGCUCUCUGGUCUGUAACUGACGCUGAGGCUCGAAAGCGUGGGGAGCAAACAGG